UACAGGGGGGGCAAGCGUUGUUCGGAAUUACUGGGCGUAAAGGGUUUGUAGGUGGCUUGUUAAGUCAGACGUGAAAUCCCUCAGCUUAACUGGGGAACUGCGUCUGAUACUGAUGAGCUUGAGUGCAGGAGAGGAACGCGGAAUUCCAGGUGUAGCGGUGAAAUGCGUAGAUAUCUGGAGGAACACCGGUGGCGAAGGCGGCAUUCUGGACCAUAACUGACACUGAGAGACGAAAGCCAGGGGAGCAAACGGG
rnacentral:rRNA from 1 species